UAGGUAUGCUUCAAUUAAGGGAACAGAGAGUAAACCAAAACUUUCGAAGAUCUAACACGUUGAGUCUUAGAUUCGACGUAUAAAUCUCAUUGUAAAAAGUGGUGACAAUGGGCAAUUUGCUAGAGCAAUCGUCGCAUCGUAGCUGGUUGUUGUGUUGUUAUUGGAUUGAUUUUGGUAUUUCUUUGGAUGAAAGGUUGCUUAGGAGGAAAAGACCUUAUGGACAAAGGUUUAUGAAUGGAUUAAAAUCUGAGUUGUCCAUCAAUUUGAGCUGUGAGAGAUGAUAAAUGAUAUGAAGACACGACAGGCUCAGUUGGAGGAAAUAUUGCAUACCCUCAUGUCACAGUAGCCCCAAUCACAUCCUCAGGGUAAGUUGAAUGUCAUAUUUAAAUAAUGCAAGUAGUAUAAAAUAGUCACUAAUAAUAUUUUAUUUUAAUAAUUUUGUAGAUUUUUCUACAGAUUGGUGAUAUCUUCCCAUGCCUCACCAUAUUAUCGAUGACGCACAUUUUUUUGUUAUUAUUCAUUUUUUAUUGGACAAUUUGGACAUGUGUGCUUUAAAAAAAAAUG